UACGUAGGGUCCAAGCGUUAUCCGGAAUCACUGGGCGUAAAGCGUUCGUAGGCGGUUUUUCAAGUUGGGUGUGAAAUCCUGUGGCUCAACCAUAUGGACUGUGCCCAAAACUGAAAGACUAGAGCAUAGUAGAGGCAAGUGGAACUUGCGGUGUAGGGGUGACAUCCGUAGAUAUCGCAAAGAACACCAAUGGCGAAGGCAGCUUGCUGGGCUAUUGCUGACGCUCAGGAACGAAAGCGUGGGGAGCAAACGGG
rnacentral:rRNA from 1 species